AGCGAACGCUGGCGGCAGGCUUAACACAUGCAAGUCGAGCGGGCAUCUUCGGAUGUCAGCGGCAGACGGGUGAGUAACACGUGGGAACGUACCCUUCGGUUCGGAACAACUCUGGGAAACUGGAGCUAAUACCGGAUACGCCCUUAUGGGGAAAGGUUUACUGCCGAAGGAUCGGCCCGCGUCUGAUUAGCUAGUUGGUGGGGUAACGGCCUACCAAGGCGACGAUCAGUAGCUGGUCUGAGAGGAUGAUCAGCCACACUGGGACUGAGACACGGCCCAGACUCCUACGGGAGGCAGCAGUGGGGAAUAUUGGACAAUGGGCGCAAGCCUGAUCCAGCCAUGCCGCGUGAGUGAUGAAGGCCUUAGGGUUGUAAAGCUCUUUUGUCCGGGACGAUAAUGACGGUACCGGAAGAAUAAGCCUCGGCUAACUUCGUG
rnacentral:rRNA from 1 species